CAUGACUUUGAAUCUUUGGGACAGUGGUAGAUAUUUUGACUCACCUAAGAAAGAAACAUGUACCUUGAAUGUGGAACCCUAAACGUGGGACUGUGGAGUAGGAUUUUCAGUCUAAUUAUGUUUACAUAAUUUAAGAUCUUGCAUCCUAUUUUAUACAUAUACACUAUGUACAAUAGUCCUCGAAUACAUUAUUUAGUAGAGAGAUCAUAAAUAUUUCUAUAAGAAGGGAGAAAAGGCACAGAUAUAAUUCAAUUUCUUUUUUAGGCACCAGAGAGAGAGAGAUCCUACGUUCUGUGCAAAACCUCUUACAGAUCACGCUGUGUAUUGAGUCCAGACGAAAAGCACAGGGAAAACCCCAACCUCGAGCGAGCCCCGUCUCACCUGAGGUCAGAACCUCUGAUGUUAGAGGGGCUGUUUUCGCAGCCAACAUGAACAUGGAGAAGGGACAAUUCAACCUUGUCUUCGCAGAGAAAAGUGCUUCUCCUGUAGGCUCAGUCUGUAAUGUUUGGGUGGGACUCUGGCACACAGCAUGGAGGUACCUCUGAAAACUAAAUAUAGAACUACCAUUUGACCCACUCCUCCGCAUGUAUCCAGACAAAACUUUCACUGAAGAAGAUACAUGCACCCCUGUGCUCAUUGCAGUGCUAUUCACAAUAGCCAAGACAUGGAAACGACCUAAAUGUCCAUCAACAGAUGAAUGGGUUAAGAAGAUGUGAUAUAUAUAUAUAUAUAUACACACACACACAAUGGAAUACUACUCAGCUAUAAAAAAGAACAAAGUAAUUUGCAGUGAUAUGGGUGGAACUAGAGACUCACAUACUAAGUGAAGUAAGUCAGAAAGAGGAAGACAAAUACCAUAUGACACCACUAAUAUCUGGAAGCUAAUAUACAGGUGGAAAUGAACCUAUCUAUGAAAAGAAACACACUCAUGGACUUGGAGAACAGAGUUGUGGUUGCCAAGGGGGAGGGGGAGAGAGUGGGGUGGACUGGGAUUUAGGGGUUAGUAGAUGCAAACUAUUGCCUUUGGAGUGGAUGAGCAAUGAGAUCCUGCUGUAUAGCACAGGGAACUAUAUCUAGUCACUUGUGAUGGAACAUGAUGGAGGAUAAUGGGAGAAAAAGAAUGUAUAUAUAUGUAUGACUGGGUCACUUUUCUGUACAGCAUAAAUUGACAGAACAUUGUAAAACAACUAUAAUAGAAAAAAAUAAAAAUCUUAUUUAAAAACA
rnacentral:lncRNA from 1 species